AAGGGUGAGUAACACGUGAGUGAUCUGCCCUCAAGCUUGGGAUAACUCACCGAAAGGUGGGCUAAUACCGGAUAUGACCACAGAUUGCAAAAUCAGUGGUAAAAGGUGGCCUCUAUUUAUAAGCUAUCACUUGGGGAUGAGCUCGCAUACCAUUAGCUAGUUGGUGGGGUAAAGGCCUACCAAGGCUACGAUGGUUAGCUGGUCUGAGAGGAUGAUCAGCCACACUGGGACUGAGAUACGGCCCAGACUCC
rnacentral:rRNA from 1 species